rnacentral:rRNA from 1 species
GAUGAACGCUGGCGGCGUGCCUAAUACAUGCAAGUCGAGCGAACGGACGAGACGCUUGCUUCUCUGAUGUUAGCGGCGGACGGGUGAGUAACACGUGGAUCACCUCCCUAUAUGUCUGGGAUCACUUCGGGAAACCGGAGCUAAUACCGGAUAAUCUUUUGCACCGCAUGGUUCAAAAGUGAAAGUCGGCCUUGCUGUCUCUUAUAGAUGGUUCCGCGCUGCAUUAGCUAGUUGGUAAGGUAACGGCUUACCAAGGCAACGAUGCGUAGCCGACCUGAGAGGGUGAUCGGCCACACGAGAACGGAAACACGGACCAGACUCCUACGGGAGGCAGCAGUAGGGAAUCGUCCGCAAUGGGCGAAAGCCUGACGGAGCAACGCCGCGUGAGUGAUGAAGGUCUUCGGAUCGUAAAACUCUGUUAUUAGGGAAGAACAGAUGUGGAAGUAACUGUGCACAUCUUGACGGUACCUAAUCAGAAAGCCACGGCUAACUACGUG